AUUGAACGCUGGCGGCAUGCCUUACACAUGCAAGUCGAACGGUAACAGGUCUUCGGAUGCUGACGAGUGGCGCACGGGUGAGUAAUACAUCGGAACGUGCCCAGACGUGGGGGAUAACGAGGCGAAAGCUUUGCUAAUACCGCAUACGAUCUAAGGAUGAAAGCAGGGGACCGCAAGGCCUUGUGCGUUUGGAGCGGCCGAUGGCAGAUUAGGUAGUUGGUGGGAUAAAAGCUUACCAAGCCGACGAUCUGUAGCUGGUCUGAGAGGACGACCAGCCACACUGGGACUGAGACAUGGCCCAGACUCCUACGGGAGGCAGCAGUGGGGAAUUUUGGACAAUGGGCGAAAGCCUGAUCCAGCAAUGCCGCGUGCAGGAUGAAGGCCUUCGGGUUGUAAACUGCUUUUGUACGGAACGAAAAGGCUCUGGCUAAUACCUGGGGCACAUGACGGUACCGUAAGAAUAAGCACCGGCUAACUACGUG
rnacentral:rRNA from 1 species